AAAGCCUGAUCCAGCAAUACCGAGUGAGUGAUGAAGGUCCUAGGGUUGUAAAGCUCUUUUAGCAAGGAAGAUAAUGACGUUACUUGCAGAAAAAGCCCCGGCUAACUCCGUGCCAGCAGCCGCGGUAAGACGGAGGGGGCUAGCGUUGUUCGGAAUUACUGGGCGUAAAGAGUGCGUAGGCGGUUUAGUAAGUUGGAAGUGAAAGCCCGGGGCUUAACCUCGGAAUUGCUUUCAAAACUACUAAUCUAGAGUGUAGUAGGGGAUGAUGGAAUUCCUAGUGUAGAGGUGAAAUUCUUAGAUAUUAGGAGGAACACCGGUGGCGAAGGCGGUCAUCUGGGCUACAACUGACGCUGAUGCACG
rnacentral:rRNA from 1 species